UACGGAGGGUGCGAGCGUUGUCCGGAAUCAUUGGGCGUAAAGGGUGCGUAGGCGGCGCGGUAAGUCGGAUGUGAAAUCUCGGAGCUUAACUUCGAAACUGCAUUCGAUACUGCCGUGCUUGAGGACUGGAGAGGAGACUGGAAUUUACGGUGUAGCGGUGAAAUGCGUAGAUAUCGUAAGGAAGACCAGUGGCGAAGGCGGGUCUCUGGACAGUUCCUGACGCUGAGGCACGAAGGUCAGGGGAGCAAACGGG
rnacentral:rRNA from 1 species